UACUUUGUCUCUCUCCACGUCCACCUCUCCACCCCAACGUCCUAAGAUAAAUGUCUCUGUUGACUGUUCUAAGCAACACCCAGCUAGAGAGUUCCACGAUGGCUGCACCCUCAGUGAUCCUCUCCCUCCACCUGUGCCCAUCUAGGUGAUGGGCACGGCUUCCAGGUCAUGGUUUCUGAAACCCUUGGAAGAAUCACUUUAAAGUACAUCGACAACUAAUUACUCGAAAGGAUGUAGGAGUGUGUCACCUCCCAAGGGCAUAGCUGGGACCUCGUGAUUACUAGAAGAUGCACCUCCUCUGAAAUCUCAUUCUCACCACCACCUUCCGACCAGAUCUGCAAUGGUCCCUCCACUUUCUCUAUCCAUGAACCGCCUCUGAUCUUUUCUUCCUUCUGUAUCUAACCUAGAUGUCACAGUUCUUCCCACUGGGCUCUAAAAAUAGUACUAGAUCAAUUGUGACUUCAUGACUGUCCUGCCUGCAAAGCCCCCAUGUCUUCAUGUCUGUGCCUGAGUUAUUCAAGACUAGAGAGUCUGACACAUGGGACACGCUGGCAUGCCUCAAACUUCUCCAACUUCGUUUGGCCCAGAAGUUUGACCAUGUUUUUCUAGACGCUCCCACCGUGUUCUUGACAAUCACAAUUGCAUUUCCUCUUCUGCAAGCAUCCACUCUUAUCUCCUUUCCAUUCUGGCCUUUUACUUCACUUCGCAGAAACUGUUCUUGAAGGGGUUAUGAAGAGUUUCCUUGUUUCAUCCAAUAUAAAAAUUUUGCCUUCAUCUGACCUGAACUCUGUGCAGCCUUUAACACAGCCGCCGAGUCAGCCUACAAAAAACAUGACCAAGCGUCAACGCCGUGAGUUGCUCCGUAAGCCCACCCACCACCUGCCUAAGGAGAGCUGGAGCAGCUGCCUGCACAGGCUUAUCGAAUAAUUCAAACUUGUCAUCACAGUCGUUUCUCCAGAUUCAAAUACACAGCCAUCUUUUCUUUGUUGCAAAACAGACUGCCCCAUACUGAGCUGCUGAGGAUGCUAUCCCUGCAUCAAAUUCUCUCUAGAACCCUCCUUGAUUACUCAGGAAGAACAAUCACUUGCUCACAGAAUGCUGUUCCCUGGGUCAACGUGACUGCCAAAUGUACACACACACACACACACACACAAGCUCAAGUAGUGACUUUAUCAGGGUAUUGUGUCAACAAUGAUGAAGAGGCUAGAACAGUUGGAAAAAACCAUAAUUGAAAGAUUGAAAGAAAUGUACUUACUGUCGUUACUGCCUUGACUUGU